UACGUAGGGUGCAAGCGUUAAUCGGAAUUACUGGGCGUAAAGCGUGCGCAGGCGGUUUUGUAAGUCUGUUGUGAAAUCCCCGGGCUCAACCUGGGAAUGGCGAUGGAGACUGCAAGGCUAGAGUUUGGCAGAGGGGGGUAGAAUUCCACGUGUAGCAGUGAAAUGCGUAGAGAUGUGGAGGAACACCGAUGGCGAAGGCAGCCCCCUGGGUCAAAACUGACGCUCAUGCACGAAAGCGUGGGGAGCAAACAGG
rnacentral:rRNA from 1 species